UCUAGUGACGAUGGCGAAGAGGUCACACCCGUUCCCAUGCCGAACACGGAAGUUAAGCUCUUCAGCGCCGAUGGUAGUUGGGGGCUCUCCCCCUGUGAGAGUAGGACGUCGCUAGGC
rnacentral:rRNA from 1 species